rnacentral:rRNA from 1 species
GACGAACGCUGGCGGCGUGCUUAACACAUGCGAGUCGAACGGAAAGGCCCUGCUUUUGUGGGGUGCUCGAGUGGCGAACGGGUGAGUAACACGUGAGUAACCUGCCCUUGACUUUGGGAUAACUUCAGGAAACUGGGGCUAAUACCGGAUAGGAGCUCCUGCUGCAUGGUGGGGGGUGGAAAGUUUCGGCGGUUGGGGAUGGACUCGCGGCUUAUCAGCUUGUUGGUGGGGUAGUGGCUUACCAAGGCUUUGACGGGUAGCCGGCCUGAGAGGGUGACCGGCCACAUUGGGACUGAGAUACGGCCCAGACUCCUACGGGAGGCAGCAGUGGGGAAUAUUGCACAAUGGGCGGAAGCCUGAUGCAGCAACGCCGCGUGCGGGAUGACGGCCUUCUGGUUGUAAACCGCUUUCGCCUGUGACGAAGCGUGAGUGACGGUAAUGGGUAAAGAAGCACCGGCUAACUACGUG